rnacentral:lncRNA from 1 species
AAUAAAGUUGUAGUAGCAGUAGUUAUCUUUUUGUCUGUUUCACUCUCUCUUUAACAGUGAUGGAAAUGAUUGGGGCCAUUAGCAUUCUGAUGAAGAGAGGCUGUGACAAAGGCUAUGACUACAGGGCCUCCUGACUCUUCUGUGAUGCUGCCAGUGAUGUAGAGGGGACUGACUCCAAUUGCACCAUUUUUGAAACAGCCCUAACAUGGUAUGGAGAAAACAGACAGAUGGGCAAUUCAUAAUGCGGGCAUAAUGUUCUCAGUUUUGCAGAGUUAGCUUUGCAUUUUAUAUGGAAGAAUGAUACCAGGAUUUGAAAACUUCAUGCAGGAUGUACUGUGGUGCUUUAGUCAAGUAAAAGGAACUAUUGAUAUUGGGGUGACAGAAGAGCAGUUAUAAACUGAAGGCUAUA